AUUGAACGCUGGCGGCAGGCCUAACACAUGCAAGUCGAGCGGAGCGGCGGACGGGUGAUUAUUGCUUAUGCAUCUGCCUGGUAGUGGGGGAUAACGUCCGGAAACGGGAGCUAAUACCGCAUACUCUCAGAUGCGCCUAGGUCGGAUUAGCUAGUUGGUGGGGUAAAGGUCUACCAAGGCGACGCUCCGUAACUGGUCUGAGAGGAUGAUCAGUAAUACUGUAACUGGAGCACGGUUCAGAAGUCUACGGAAGGCAGCAGUGGGGAAUAUUGCAAAAUGGUCGAAAGCUUGAUCCAGCCAUGCCGCUUGUUGGAAGAAGGUCGUCGGAGUGUAAAGCACGUUAAGUUUGGAUGGGUGACCAACAGAAUAAGCACCGGCUAACUGCGUGCAAGGAGCCGCGGGAAUAC
rnacentral:rRNA from 1 species